GAUGAACGCUAGCUACAGGCUUAACACAUGCAAGCCGCGGGGCAGCAUGGGGGUUGCUUGCAACCCCUGAUGGCGACCGGCGCACGGGUGAGUAACGCGUAUCCAACCUGCCCUUCACCACGGGAUAACCCGGCGAAAGUCGGACUAAUACCGUAUGUUGUCCAUUGACGGCAUCCGAUUUGGACGAAAGGCUUAGCGGUGAGGGAUGGGGAUGCGUCCGAUUAGCUCGACGGCGGGGUAACGGCCCACCGUGGCAACGAUCGGUAGGGGUUCUGAGAGGAAGGUCCCCCACACUGGAACUGAGACACGGUCCAGACUCCUACGGGAGGCAGCAGUGAGGAAUAUUGGUCAAUGGGCGGAAGCCUGAACCAGCCAAGUAGCGUGCAGGAUGACAGCCCUAUGGGUUGUAAACUGCUUUUAUGCGGGGAUAAAGGGGCCCACGUGUGGGUUUUUGCAGGUACCG
rnacentral:rRNA from 1 species